GGCGUCUUAUUUCGUCCCAUUUCCUCGGUGCCGUUCAAUAUGGAGGCAUGUUGAUCAAUUUCGUCUGCGUUUUAAAAAAGGAAAAACGCAAGAUGGAAAAGGGUGAUGUCUUAGAAGAUGAAGAAAUCAGACCUGUUCAUCAACGAUCAACUAUUCUUAGUCAUGGAAAAGAAUGACAACUUAUAAGAUGAAGAAACAAGACUUGUGUUCAUCAAUGGUCAACUAUUUUCAGUCAUGUUAUUAAUGGAAAAGAAUGACAACUUAUAAGAUGAAAAAAUAAGACCUGUUCAUCAACGAUCAACUAUUCUUAGUCGUGCUGUUAUUAAUGGAAAAGGAUGAUGACUUGUAAAAUGAAGAAGAGAUUGUACAUUUAAUUUUGUAAAAAAAAAAAAGGAUAAUUUAUCCACAUUCCAGCAAAUGUAUAUUCAUUCAUAUUAAUCUACACAUUUUAAAGCCUUUGAAAAAUAAAGAAUUUUUUGAUCCACGAUUGGACAACGAUGUGAUAUGUAAACCUUUGUAAAUAUACAAUAAACGUCAAAUUGAAUUUUGAAAGAA